rnacentral:rRNA from 1 species
UACGUAGGGGGCUAGCGUUGUCCGGAUUUAUUGGGCGUAAAGAGCGUGUAGGCGGCCAGGUAGGUCUGCUGUGAAAACUCGAGGCUCAACCUCGAGACGUCGGCGGAAACCAUCUGGCUAGAGUCCGGAAGAGGAGAGUGGAAUUCCUGGUGUAGCGGUGAAAUGCGCAGAUAUCAGGAGGAAUACCGGUGGCGAAGGCGGCAUCCUGGACCGGCAUUGACGCUGAGGAGCGAAAGCCAGGGGAGCAAACGGG